GGGUUCCGUGCGAUGUGGAGAUGUGAACCCUGUCAGGUCUGAAAGGAAGCAGCAGUAAGCAUUGCAAGCGUGUGCUGCGGCCAAGCCU
rnacentral:SRP_RNA from 1 species